rnacentral:rRNA from 1 species
GUGGAUUAGAUACCCUGGUAGUCCACGCCGUAAACGAUGAGAACUAGCCGUUGGACCCCUUGAGGGUUUAGUGGCGUAGCUAACGCGAUAAGUUCUCCGCCUGGGGAGUACGGCCGCAAGGCUAAAACUCAAAUGAAUUGACGGGGGCCCGCACAAGCGGUGGAGCAUGUUGUUUAAUUCGAUGCAACGCGAAGAACCUUACCACCCCUUGACAUCCUCGGAACUUGUCAGAGAUGACUUGGUGCCUUCGGGAACCGAGAGACAGGUGCUGCACGGCUGUCGACAACG